GCGGCGUGCCUAAUACAUGCAAGUCGAGCGAAUUUUUGGGAGCUUGCUCCCAAAAGUUAGCGGCGGACGGGUGAGUAACACGUGGGCAACCUGCCUAUAAGACUGGGAUAACUUCGGGAAACCGGAGCUAAUACCGGAUAAUUCUUAUCUACUCAUGUAGAUAAGCUGAAAGACGGUUUCGGCUGUCACUUAUAGAUGGGCCCGCGGCGCAUUAGCUAGUUGGUGAGGUAACGGCUCACCAAGGCAACGAUGCGUAGCCGACCUGAGAGGGUGAUCGGCCACACUGGGACUGAGACACGGCCCAGACUCCUACGGGAGGCAGCAGUAGGGAAUCUUCCGCAAUGGACGAAAGUCUGACGGAGCAACGCCGCGUGAGUGAUGAAGGUUUUCGGAUCGUAAAACUCUGUUGUUAGGGAAGAACAAGUACGAGAGUAACUGCUCGUACCUUGACGGUACCUAACCAGAAAGCCACGGCUAACUACGUGCCAGCAGCCGCGGUAAUACGUA
rnacentral:rRNA from 1 species